rnacentral:lncRNA from 1 species
CAAAAAAUUGGAAAAAAACAAUCAUCAACAUCACUAUACAUCAAAAAAAACACAUAACUUAUAUAGCUUAUAUAUAACAAUAUAUUACUACGAGUUACUACACGUGACUAUAUAUGACUACAUGUAUAUGACUACACAUGACUAUAUAUGACUACAUGUAUAUGACUACACGUGACUAUAUAUGACUACAUGUAUAUGACUACACGUGAAUAUAUAUGACUACAUGUAUAUGACUACACGUGACUAAAUAUGACUAUAUGUAUAUGACCACGUGUGACUAUGCAAAUCUCUCCUACACUGAAACAAGUACAGCCAAGUUUCGAAUAAGACGUAAUUGUCGAGAAACUGCCGGUCCUCCCACUCUAUCAUCACCGACUCGCCUGACAGACUCCUCAUCCAACACGAGAGUUAUAUAUUGUCCCGUACUUUCUCUUCACCCCAAAGUUAUAUAUCAGUUAUAUAUAGUCGACCGACUAUGUAGACCGCUUAUAUAUAGUCGACCGACUAUGUAGACCGCUGAUUAUAUACAAAAAACUGAUUAUAUACAAUAAAGAACUUCAUCGACACAAACAACAAAUAUCACAAUAAAAUCUUGAUAUUAUAAAUCAACUCGUACAAAUAUAGAUCGAAAUACACAAUCACAUGCAUAUGUUCUUCAACAAAGAACAAAUCGUGAUCAUAAAUUAUUACCGCACAAAAAAAUGAACAAACACAAUCAUCAACAUCACUAUACAUCAGAAAAAUCACAUAGUUUAUAUAUAAUUAUAUAUUACUACAUGUUACUACACGUGAUUAUAUAUGACUAUAUGUAUAUGACUGCAUGUGACUAUAUAUGACUAUAUGUAUAUGACUGCAUGUGACUAUAUAUGACUACAUGUACAUGACUACAUGUUACUAUUUAUGUUACUAUAUGUUACUAUAUAUGACUAUAGUCAUCUACUAUUAUAGACAUCUAUAGUAUUCUAUACUCUUAAUGAAUUUCACUUCAUUGCGUACUUUUCCCAUCAUUCUUUCCUGUAUAGAAGCAGCAAAAAC